rnacentral:rRNA from 1 species
AGUGAACGCUGGCGGUAGGCCUAACACAUGCAAGUCGAACGGCAGCACAGUAAGAGCUUGCUCUUACGGGUGGCGAGUGGCGGACGGGUGAGGAAUACAUCGGAAGCUACUUUUUCGUGGGGGAUAACGUAGGGAAACUUACGCUAAUACCGCAUACGACCUACGGGUGAAAGCAGGGGAUCUUCUGACCUUGCGCGAUUGAAUGAGCCGAUGUCGGAUUAGCUAGUUGGCGGGGUAAAGGCCCACCAAGGCGACGAUCCGUAGCUGGUCUGAGAGGAUGAUCAGCCACACUGGAACUGAGACACGGUCCAGACUCCUACGGGAGGCAGCAGUGGGGAAUAUUGGACAAUGGGCGCAAGCCUGAUCCAGCCAUACCGCGUGGGUGAAGAAGGCCUUCGGGUUGUAAAGCCCUUUUGUUGGGAAAGAAAAGCAGCAGGUUAAUACCCCGCUGUUCUGACGGUACCCACAGAAUAAGCACCGGCUAACUUCGUG